AUGGCCGCACCCAUGGCAUAUGGAAGUUCCUGGACUAGGGACUGAAUCUGAGCCGCAGGUGCGGCAGAGCCAGAUCCUUUAACCCACUGUGCUGGGCCGGGGAUAGAAACCGAGCCUCUACAGUCAGAUUCUUAACCAACUGCACCACAGUAGGAACCCCAACAUUCGACAUUUGAUGGUGCAGAUACCUCCUUCUUCCUUCAGUGUAAAUAUUCUAAUACAAAUAUUUUUAUUAAUUGCCCCCCGCCAAAAAACAACAAAAAACCAAAAAGCACAAUAAAAAAAUUGGACCUUACCAAACCACCUGUAGGGCUUGCUUGCCCCUCUGGUACACUCUUCCACCCUGUGUCUUGCCUUGGUAAUGCCUGAUGGGUCACCCGAUAGGCUUCAACCUAGACAUCACACAUUUCUUCAGGAACCUUCCCUUCCACUAUGCUCCUGUCACCAGGGGUGUAGUACUAGGGGAAUCACACCUGAUAGCAAUUGCUCAUUUAUUUAGUACCCUCCAGCAUAUACAUUAAAUACAUCUGUAAGUACUUGCUGACUAUUCCACUAGGUAAUAGGCACCACCCAACCUGGGAAAGAUGAUUGGUGCCUUCCCCGUAGAGCCUAGUCCAAGCUUUUGUUUUGUUUGUCCUUUUAUAGCCACACCUAUGGCAUAUGGAAGUUCCCAGGUGCAGCCCUAAAAGGACAAAAGACCAAAAAUAAAUAAAUCAACUGCAGCUUGUGUUAAGCUUAAUCCACUGAGCAAGGCCAAGGGUUGAAUCUACAUCUUCACGGACACUUUGUGGGGUUCUUAACCCACUGAGCCACAAGAGGAACUCCUUGUUUUGUUUUUAAAUGGCUUUAUUGAGAUUUAGUCCAUGGACUAUGCAAUUCACCCAUUUAAGAUGUAAAAUUUGGGAGUUCCUGGGUGGCACAGUGGGUUAAGGAUUUUGCGAUGUCAUUGCUAUGGCUUGUAUUACCGCUGUGGCGCAGGUAAGAUCCCUGGCCCAGGAACUUCUGCAUACUGCAUGUAUAUGGCCAAAAAUAAAUAAAUAAAAUGUACAAUUUAGUGGCUUUUAGUAUAUUUACAAAGUUCAUCACCACAAUCAGUUUUAAAGUUUUCAUCAACCCCAAAAGAAACUUCGCACUCCUUAGGUAUCAUCGCUGGGGCCUCUGCAUCCCCUUCCCUUCCCCAUCACCCAGCCCCUGAGGUAACCACCAAUCUAGUGUAACCACAGAUCCUAUAGAUUUGCCUAUUCUGGAUAUUUCUUAUGUGAAUCAGGUUAGGUCUUCCCCAUCUUACCCAGUUCUGAGAUUCUUCUAAGAACUUCCCUGGAGAUUCAAAUUCAGAGAUCAGAGAAUCUGGUGGGUUCCCCCCCCCCCCCCCCCCCCCGCUUUUUAGGGCCGCACCUGCAGCAUAUGGAAGUUCCCAGGCUAGGGGUUUGAAUCGGCGCCACAGCUGCUGGACCACAGCACAACCACAGCCACGUGAGAUCCGAGCCAUGUCUUCCACCUACACCACAGCUCACAGCAACUCCGAAUCCCCAACCCACUGAGUGAGGCCAGGGAUUGAACCUGCACCCUCAUGGAUCCUAGUCGGGUUCGUUAACCAAUGAGCUACAAAGGGAACUCUGGAAUCUGUAUUUUUAACAUGGGGUCUUCUCUAAAGAGUCAAUUCUCUAUUUAAUCAGACUGCAUCUGCCUUUACUGUCUCCAGCAACCAAGGCCAAAUGUAUAGUAGUUGUCAACAAAUAGCUUUUGAUGACUACCUCUAAAACUUAACACAAUCAAGCAUUUUGAGUAUGGCGAGUCCCCUUGUGGCUUGGCAGGUUGGGGACAAUAUAGGCAGGGAGGAGUGAGAUCAGACUAGUAGAGGAGGCAAAUUGAAUCCACAGAGGCCAAAGGUGGCAAUUAGAAAGGGGCUUGUGGAGUGGCUGAAGAGUUUGGGAUUUAUUACCUCUAGGGUACUGGAGAGUCAUCCAUGGGCUUGAAGCAGGGGAAUUAUGAGAUCACAUCUGGGCUGUGCAGUUGUGUAGGGGGAGGAGGCAGGAAGCAGUGAAGAGUCUAAAGAUGUGGUCAGAAGUGAUAGUGCCUGAGCCAGGUUGGAGGCAGUGGGGAUAGAGAGAUUAGAGUGAAGAGAUAUCCCAAAGGCAGAAUGGACAAUUUAGAGAUUGAUGGGAUGUGGGAGAUGAGAGAAUGAAG
rnacentral:lncRNA from 1 species